GAACAUACCUGGAAGGAGAGACACAAUGAUUAUGAAGGUGGUUUUCCCCUGGGUGAGGCUUUUCCAUUGCACUCCGGGUGUGCUGCCCCUGUGAUUUCCCCAAAUGUAGGAAACCUGACAGCACAAUUUGUUGUAGUAGGGGACUGUGUUUGUGCUCCCACCUG
rnacentral:snRNA from 1 species